GAUGAACGCUGGCGGCGUGCCUAAUACAUGCAAGUCGAGCGAACAGAUGAGGAGCUUGCUCCUCUGACGUUAGCGGCGGACGGGUGAGUAACACGUGGAUAACCUACCUAUAAGACUGGGAUAACUUCGGGAAACCGGAGCUAAUACCGGAUAAUAUAUUGAACCGCAUGGUUCAAUAGUGAAAGACGGUUUUGCUGUCACUUAUAGAUGGAUCCGCGCCGCAUUAGCUAGUUGGUAAGGUAACGGCUUACCAAGGCAACGAUGCGUAGCCGACCUGAGAGGGGGGUCGGCCACAACGGAACUGGGGCCAGGGCCAAACUCCUUCGGGAGGCAGCCGUAGGGAAUCUUUCCGCAUGGGGCGAAAGCCUGCCGGGCCACGGCGCCUGGGUGAAGAAGGUCUUUCGGUUCUAAAACUCCGUUAAUAGGGAAAGAAAAAAGUGUUAGUAAACAUUCAACUUUUGGCCGUUACUUAUCCAAAAGGCACCGGUUACCUCCUG
rnacentral:rRNA from 1 species